GCAAACUUGGUCAUUUAGAGGAAGUAAAAGUCGUAACAAGGUAACCGUAGGUGAACCUGCGGUUGGAUCAUUACCAAUUAUUCAAUUAUUCUCAUAUUGCUUGGCUGUUUGGGGAGAGAAAUUCUUCAUUCAGUCAAGUCAAUCUAUGAGAAAAACACUUUGUGAACCAAGUAAUUGUUUUUUUGGUGGUUUUUAAGCCUUUAGAUUUCUAAAGGUUUUCACUCUAGUUAUUUGCUGGAGUGAGGCCACCAAAGGAUUAUUAAACAAACUUUUAUUAUUACUUUUUUUCUUCUAUCUUUUUUUAUUCAAUUCUUGAAGACUCUUUUGUAUUUUCAAAAGGGAAUUUAAAGAAGUGAAUCAAAAAUAAUAGCUAAUAGAAAAAACAACUUUUAACAACGGAUCUCUUGGCUCUCGCAUCGAUGAAGAACGCAGC
rnacentral:misc_RNA from 1 species